rnacentral:rRNA from 1 species
CCGAAAGGUAGGAGUGCCCGCAAGGGAGCGCGGAGACAGGUGGUGCAUGGCUGUCGUCAGCUCGUGUCGUGAGAUGUUGGGUUAAGUCCCGCAACGAGCGCAACCCUCACCCCUUGUUGCCAACAGGUAAAGCUGGGCACUCUAGGGGAACUGCCCCGGUCAACGGGGAGGAAGGCGGGGAUGACGUCAAGUCAUCAUGCCCCUUACGUCCUGGGCUACACACGUGCUACAAUGGCCGGUACAAAGGGAUGCCACACCGUGAGGUAGAGCUAAACCCAAAAAGCCGGUCUAAGUUCAGAUUGGAGUCUGCAACUCGACUCCAAGAAGGAGGAAUCGCUAGUAAUCGCGUAUCAGCACGACGCGGUGAAUACGUUCCCGGGCCUUGUACACACCGCCCGUCACACCACGAAAGCCAG